UAUCUCUGUAGAGUCUGCAUAUCAAUAAGCGGAGGAAAAGAAACUAACAAGGAUUCCCCUAGUAACGGCGAGUGAAGCGGGAAGAGCUCAAAUUUGAAAUCUUCAAGGUUUGACCUUGACGAAUUGUAGUUUAAAGAAGUGUUUUCGGUUAGAGGAGUAGUAAAAGUUCUUUGGAAUAGGACAUCAUAGAGGGUGAGAAUCCCGUAUUUGACUAUUCUUUCUAGCUUUGUGAUACACUUUCAAAGAGUCGGAUUGUUUGGGAAUGCAGUCCAAAAUGGGUGGUAAAUUUCAUCUAAAGCUAAAUAUUGGCGAGAGACCGAUAGCGAACAAGUACCGUGAGGGAAAGAUGAAAAGAACUUUGAAAAGAGAGUUAAACAGUACGUGAAAUCGUCAAAAGGGAAGCGUUUGACACCAGUGUUGUUUUUCCGAAAAUCAAUUAAAAGUUGAUUCAUGCCAGGUUGUAUUGACCUUAUCAGCUUGCAAUUUGGUUUUGGGUCUCUUUUUGAUGCACUUUUCGGUUAACAAGUCAACAUCAAUUUCCUUUGCUGUAAAAAGGUAAGAGGAAGGUGGCUUCAAUUUCGGUUGAAGUGUUUAUAGCCUUUUAUCUCUGCAGUCGGGGAGAUUGAGGUCUGCAGCGUAGAUCCUUCGGGGCUAGAUACAUUUAUGCUAAGUUAUAGCUUUUCAUAGACAACUUGUUGACUAUGUUUAGUCAUGUAGCUUACUCGUAAGUGCUAUUUUACCUACGCUUAGGAUGUUGAAGACUCUACAGAGAUA
rnacentral:rRNA from 1 species